rnacentral:lncRNA from 1 species
CCCAAUAGAAACCAUAGUUUGGUUCACUGAAAUGCCUAUUAUGGGCUUAUUCCAUUACAACCCAAUUUUUUGUGUAAGCAUGGAAAUGGGGCAUUCCUAUUCCAUUUCCUUUUCACUAAAUAGCCACAAAAUACAGGUCUCCUUUCCAUUUUACCCUCUCAUUUUCUCACGAAAAAAAAGUUCUCAUUCAGUCCAAUCUCAAUCCUGACCUCCCUUGCUUCCUUCGUCUCCGGCCAGUAGCAGUCAUCCCUCAGGUAAACCUUUCGAUUUGUUUAUUCCUUUUGAUUAUUCCUUUCGAUUUCCUCUUUGCCUCUUUUAGUAACCCUAACAAGACUGUUCAAAUUCUUGAAAAUGGAAAUGGCAAAUCAGUGUUUUGCCAAAAAGGUUAUCUCUAUUCCAUCUAAAUUUCUAAUCUUCCAAAACUUCCCUAGAUUUGCAGAUGAUUCGUCUGCCUAUACUUAUCUCUUCUCCCAAUUUGAUUUUUUUCUAAUUUUUUUUCGUGUCUGUCUAUUUGUCUUUCCAUUUCUUUCCUCUCUUUUUAAUCCAUGGAAUUAAGUAACAUCUAAUCACAACUAGUUUGUUCUUCUUCUUUUUCCCACAUCUUAUACUUCUAAACAAAGCUCCUUUCCCUUGCAUGCUAUUGCCAACUUUCUUCAAAAUAUUUCGUCUCUUAAACGUUUUCUCUUCACUCCACAGGUUUUAAAAACCUUACCCUUUUCUUUAUUUUCUUCCAUAACUUCAUAUCUAUUGUUUUUCUCAUGUUUAAUUUGAUUGUAUUGCACUAUGUUCAAUUUUUAUAUAAAAAAAGGUAGUUUAGUAACAAUGGAAAUAUAAAUAUAUAUAUAUGAAACCGUGAAUAAACUUUUUCCUUUUUUUUUUCCUUUUUGCAGGUUUAUAGGGGUGUUAAGGUCAUCUUCUCAGCUGUGUAACUUUUCUUCUAAAGGUAACUGAAAUUCCAUUGGAAAGCUUCAAUUUGAAUGUCGGUACUCAAAUAUUAUUAUUUGGGUAUAUUCUAUGUUUGGUUAAAUCACGUUUUGGUUUUUGAGUAGUUUUUUUAUUCAGGUAAUCAUCUAAAUGUGAUUGUAUAAGAGUGCUUUGUCAUUGGAUUUUUAUUAGAUUAAUAAUUGUUUGAAUUCUAUAAUGAUAUUUAAUUGAAACAAGUCAGUUGUACUAUAAAGCAUGGUGCUUAAUGUAGUGUCAUCUUUUAUCCAACAAUAAAAAAUCAUAAAUUCUUGCCAUCUAAAAGAUGGAGUUCUUUGGUUACUUUUUCUUGAAUUGGAUUCAUUUGAGUUAAAAAGUGAAAUCUAAUACUUUUUUUUAAUAAAUGAAAUCUAAUACUUUCUUGUGUUCGAUUAUUUCUUUGUUUGUGUCCUAUUGAAGAUAGAAAGAAAUACAAGUUAGAUUUAAGUGCUUCGUGCAAUGAGAAUAUGUCCAAAAAAUGUUUAAUUAGCUCAUUUUUGUUGAAUAUAAGUAUUCAUCAAAAGAAGAGAAGGUGCAUUAAUGAAAUUUACUUCAGUCUUUAUGUACAAGAGUGCUGGUACUUUUUAUGUGCAAGAGUGACAUUAUAUUACUUGGUAUCUUGUUUGCUUUGCUUGAUUUGCCUUAGGGGAGGGUUAAAGAAUUGGAAUUAGUAGCCUUUGAUUUGUUGGCCAACCAUGAAUUUGACACUACUAACAUGAUAUAUUUAUUUUCUAUUUUUCUGAUAUACUUGCCAUCAUAUCUAGAGUUUGAGCAUGAAUAUAAGGACUUUCAUUUUACUUAGUUUGAUAUUCCUGUGCUAUAUCGUAUGCCAUCUUCAAAUGGGACCUUACAUACUACAUAUAAUCUUUGAAGCUAAGCCAAUUUUUUUGUAUUCAUUCUAAUAUGUUUUUUCAAUGUUUUCUUUUUUAUAUAUUCAAAACAUCACUAGUCCUUGUCCAUUUUUUUAAUACAGUGUUGUUAUAUGUUUCUUCUUUCAUUAAAAAUUUGCAACUCUUUCUUUUUUUUCUUUUCAAUUCAAAUGCUACUAUCUUUGAUGGGUUAUGAUAACAUUUAAGAAUAAUGAUUAUUAUACAUUCUUCUUAUAGCUUCUCUAUGGUGUUUAUCCUUGUUGACUUUUCUGGUUUAAUACCUAUAUUUGAACUUAAACACCCCAUCAAUUUUUUUCUAUUUUUUUUUAUUUUUUGUAUUUUUUCUCGGUUUAAUUCUUUUCUAAUUUUUUUCUCGGUUUAAUAAAAUUAUUGACUUUUAAUUGGUUAUAUUAUGGAUUGAUAGCAUCAAUACACUGACACAAUUAUGGGUUGACCUUUGAUUUUUUUUUCUAAUUUUUUCCUAGAAGUAAUUUUAUUGGUUAUAUUAUGGAUUGAUAGUAUAAUACACUGUUGCAAUUAUGGAUUAACUUUUAAUUUUUUUCUCGGUUUAAUAGAAGUAUUUUAAUUGGUUAUAUUAUGGAUUAACUUUUAAUUUUUUUCUCGGUUUAAUAGAAGUAUUUUAAUUGGUUACAUUAUUGAUUGACUUUUAAUUUUUUUCUCGAUUUAGAUAACAUGAACAAAUUAAUAACAUUAUACAUUGUUGCAAUUAUUUGCUUUUUACUGGUUAUAUUAUGGAUUGACAGUAUCAAUAAAAAUUUAAUUUUUUUUACUUCAAAUAUUAAUAUGUCUCUUAUUUUUCAUUUUUUUAAAAAUUUUUUAUUCAUUUUAAAGGAAUAUGUGUCACCUUUUAAAAUUUGCUUGUUCAGUAAAAUAUUUUUCUUAUAUUAUUAUUUAAUAGCCUAGGAAAGAAUUUUUGCUUAUUUAAAAAUAUAAAUGAAUUACGUCGAUGAAUGCCUCUUGAAACCUUUUAUAUAAUAAAAUAUUAAACUUUACUUAGUUUUCUAUGUGAUGAAAAAAAUAUAUCAUUCAUUCUCUUUUACAAAAUCACCAUAAUUAAAAUAAAAGUAAAAUAUAAAUGUGGAGAUUUAAAUUUUGGUUUCUCAAACAUAACGUUCUAAUAUAAUUAUUAUAAUCAAUUAUGCUAAAUUUAAAUAGUUAAAAAUGAUGGAAAACCUUAUUAUUUGUUUUGGUGUUUAUAUUGAUGUAUAAUAUUAAAUUUACUUCUUAAUUUUUUACACAUUUAUUCAAUUUAACAUUUACGAUCUUUUAUUGGAAGCAAAGUAAAUUUUGGAACCAAUAAAGCAAAAAGGUAAAAAAAAAAAAGAUCUUGCAACAUAUUUAAAAAAAAUCUAUUAAACCCUUUUCAAUUUAAAAAAAUCAUAAAAAUUUUAAAAAAAUCUAAAAUUGGGUAAGAUAUUUUUUGCCUUUUGAUUUCCCUUUAAACACAUUGUUGAUUAAAGUAUGAUUAAAUUAUAUUAAGAAUGUUAUUAAAUUAUAUAUUAUUUUAUUAAAUUAUAUUUAAAAAUUAUUAUGUUAAAAUAUGAUUAAAUUAUUUAUUAUUAUUUUUAUUAAAAUAUAUUUAACAAUAAUUUUAUUAAAAUUUAAUAACAAUAAUCAUCCACGUACAAAAAUUCUUGUAAGGGUUCUUUGAUCAUUUAAGUCUUUUUUUUUAUACUAUUACAACAUUUAUUCUAUUCAACCAAACACAAGAAUAUUAUUAUAGCUCUAUUCCAUUCUAUUCAACUAAGCAAUUGAAUUAUUGAUUAUAGUUUUAUUCCAUUACAACUUUAUUCAAUUAUAGCCCUAUUCUAUUACAGUGAACCAAACGUACCCUUAGGUAUUUGAUAUUGAAAGUGGUAAGUUGUUUAUAUAUCAUGUCAGGAUCAUGUGUAAAUAUGAAAACGUCUAGUUAUGUACUCCAAACUCAAUCUUGGUGCCAUACUUGCCCAAUGAUCAUCAUUUACUUUUCUAUUUUUGUUUUGCGUUGCUUGAGGACAAGUAACGACUUAAGUGUAGAGGAGUUUGAUAUGUCGUAAUUCGAUGUAGCAUAUUAAACUAGUUUUCAUACUUGAGGAGCUUGAAUACAAGCACUUUUAUUAUGUAUUAGUUAAGUUUUCAUAUUUUAGUUUAAAUUUAAUAAAAAGUGUAUUUUGAGUCUUUUAUAUAAGGCCUAAAAGUGAGCUAACGUACUUAGUAAGUGUGCAGGAAACCAUUCAAAGGCGUAGGAACUCAAAGUUGGUUAUUGUGUUACAACAUGAUGAGUUUAAUGUCGCAACAUAGGGAGUAAAAUGCUAAAAUUGCUAUAUCUAUAACACUCCUAACCCGUAUCCGUCGUCGAAAUAGGGUUACAGAGUGUUACAAGUUAGCGGUACAUACAGAACAUUUACAGAUUAAUCAAAACAUUACUAUUCACUUUCUGAGAUCAUAUAUGUAUAUAACGACCUUUAUUUGGGCCCUCGAAGCCCAACAUAAUCAUUAAAAUCAAGUCGGAACUUAACUGAUUUCUCAUAAAAUUUUUCGCUUAAUUUUUUUUUAAAAUUUUACUUGUGAACAGUACUUACACACCCGUGUGAUUGGGCCGUGUGGAUUCCACAUGCCCGUGUGGCUUGGGACACGCCCGUGUCCCUUGUUCGUGGAGCUUUCUGUUUAUGACAUCAUCAUCAAUUUAGGGGCACACGGCCACAUCGCACGCCCGUGUCUUAAAGUCGUGUUCUAUAUAUGGAUGAGACGCACGGCCAUGUCUCUACAUGUGUGGUCAAUAUCUAAGCUAUUUUUCAAGCCUUGGUCAACCUUAAUCUCUUAUACACUUAUACAAAAUCAAAAGCGUAUAACAUAGUAUUCAUUUAAUGAUUAAACAUUUUCAAUUAAACUACAAACAUAGCAUUUGUAUGUCAUCAUACAUGUGUCUCUCAUACUCAUUUUACCUUGUCUAUUAUGGUACCACUUAUACUUUUAUACCAUGAUUAUCAUCUUACCAAAUAUUUUUAGCUUAGUCAUCAAGCAUUUAUAUUUAAAGCUAGAUCAUAUCUUUAUAAAAUAUCACAUUUCAGAUACGCAAAAUAAAAUACUUGCCUUAAACAUUUCAAUCCAACUUCAUACUCAACAAGCAUCAUAUAGAAACUAGUCAUAUAUAUACAUGUCAUGAUAUGUAUCGUUCUCAUACUGUUUUAUUAUAAACAUAUAUCAUUUAUUUUCUUCCUCCUCCUCUCCAUUCCACAUUCUUAAUGUAUAUAACAUUCUUGUAAGUACGAUUUCACAAUUUACUUAUUAAUGUUCAUAUCAAACUAUUCACACGAGUCAUAGUCACUCAAUUAUUUAUAAUUUGAGCUACAGAGCUCUAAAU